rnacentral:rRNA from 1 species
UACGUAGGGUGCGAGCGUUAAUCGGAAUUACUGGGCGUAAAGCGUGCGCAGGCGGUUAUGUAAGACAGAUGUGAAAUCCCCGGGCUCAACCUGGGAACUGCAUUUGUGACUGCAUGGCUAGAGUACGGUAGAGGGGGAUGGAAUUCCGCGUGUAGCAGUGAAAUGCGUAGAUAUGCGGGGAACACCGAUGGCGAAGGCAAUCCCUGGACCUGUACUGACGCUCAUGCACGAAAGCGUGGGGAGCAAACAGGAUUAGAGUACCCGCGAUCAGUCC